GAUGAACGCUGGCGGCGUGCCUAAUACAUGCAAGUCGAGCGAACAGACGAGGAGCUUGCUCCUCUGACGUUAGCGGCGGACGGGUGAGUAACACGUGGAUAACCUACCUAUAAGACUGGGAUAACUUCGGGAAACCGGAGCUAAUACCGGAUAACAUGUUGAACCGCGUGGUUCAACAGUGAAAGACGGUUUUGCUGUCACUUAUAGAUGGAUCCGCGUCGCAUUAGCUAGUUGGUAAGGUAACGGCUUACCAAGGCAACGAUGCGUAGCCGACCUGAGAGGGUGAUCGGCCACACUGGAACUGAGACACGGUCCAGACUCCUACGGGAGGCAGCAGUAGGGAAUCUUCCGCAAUGGGCGAAAGCCUGACGGAGCAACGCCGCGUGAGUGAAGAAGGUCUUCGGAUCGUAAAACUCUGUUAUUAGGGAAGAACAAAUGUGUAAGUAACUAUGCACGUCUUGACGGUACCUAAUCAGAAAGCCACGGCUAACUACGUG
rnacentral:rRNA from 1 species